GCAGACUGUUCUGGACUAGUCACUGCAAGAUUGUCACUGCUGAGCCACUAGAAGAAGAACGUACUGUCAGGCCCCUGUGCCAUGAGGCUUCAUCUUCAGUUCCCUAGAGAGGCUGCCUGCUGCUUGAAGGCAAGCUGGAUAAGUGGGAUCUUAACAGAGGAGAGCAGUACAUAGCAGAGGGCCAAGCGCAUGCAGGGACAGGGCACCCCUAAGAAGUGUCCUUGGCCUUGUUGCUAGUUCCCUGGAAGACGCCUCAUCGGUCACUGCUGUGCAGAAUAAGCAAAAGACUUCCUCUGCCAUGCCUAGGCUGGAGAAGAAGGCUUCCUUUCCUCAUUUGAAAGCAGAGUGAAAUGUCAGGCAGGGUGUUUGCUGCACAAACCAGCCUAUUCUGGCUAAGUGGGGCACAAGAGGACUUAGUGAAGACUAUCAGGAUGGCAGGAGCCAGGCUUGAUCAGCAGGCAGCCUUGAUCUGGUGCUAAAACUUCAGUGCCAUCCCUUGGCGUGGGUGUCGCAACCUGUAGUAGCAGUGGACACAGACACUAGACACUGUCAUCUGGGCCACAGCUGCCUCUGAUGCAGAGUGAAGGCUGCUGCCACUGCUGCCACCCAUGCCAGUAGGUGAAAGACAAAAGGACCUUCAAAGCAGUGUGGCUUGCUGCCCUUCCAGAUGCAGAAGCAGCCCUGCCUGCUGCCAGGAGGACAGGUGACUGGGUUUUUCCAUUGUGGUGAUGAAUUGGGCUGAGUCACCGUCCCUCUCUGGUCCCCUCGUGACCAUGACUGGAAGCAAGUGGAAGAAGCAAGUGAUGGGGUUGGGAGGGGCCACAGAUGAGCCUGAGGCCAUAGAAAUGUCAUCUCUUAGCUAGGUGCUCCCUCCCCUCCUGACUCAGUGGUCAUGAGCCAGACAGCGAGCUGAAGGGGAAUCAUUCUCACCUUCUGUGACAUUGACUUCCUACCCCUUGGUGCUGAGCCCUGUGCUAGAGAGUCCACUAGAAACAAGAGUUGACCCAAUAUUGAUCUUUUCUUUAAACUUCAUGCACUGAUGGAAGAAACCAGCAGAAAGAUCACAGUCUGGGCACCAGGAAGGCGUAGUCAAGAUGUAUAAUUGAGGUGAUUGUGGAAUGCACUGAGGGGCUGGGGCACUCAGGGAGGUCUUCCUGGAAGAAGAGACAGGUGAGCCUGCAGAUAAAUGUAAGGUCAGUACAUGGGGUAACUGGGAAGAGCUCUGUCCACUCAUUUAUCUGUCCAUCUACACACA
rnacentral:lncRNA from 1 species